rnacentral:rRNA from 1 species
AGUGAACGCUGGCGGCAGGCCUAACACAUGCAAGUCGAACGGCAGCACAGUAAUAGCUUGCUCUUACGGGUGGCGAGUGGCGGACGGGUGAGGAAUAUAUCGGAAUCUACUUUUUCGUGGGGGAUAACGUAGGGAAACUUACGCCAAUACCGCAUACGACCUACGGGUGAAAGCAGGGGAUCUUCGGACCUUGCGCGAUUGAAUGAGCCGAUGUCGGAUUAGCUAGUUGGCGGGGUAAAGGCCCACCAAGGCGACGAUCCGUAGCUGGUCUGAGAGGAUGAUCAGCCACACUGGAACUGAGACACGGUCCAGACUCCUACGGGAGGCAGCAGUGGGGAAUAUUGGACAAUGGGCGCAAGCCUGAUCCAGCCAUACCGCGUGGGUGAAGAAGGCCUUCGGGUUGUAAAGCCCUUUUGUUGGGGAAGAAAAGCAGCAGGUUAAUACCCCGCUGUUCUGACGGUACCCAAAGAAUAAGCACCGGCUAACUUCGUG